rnacentral:lncRNA from 1 species
CUGAGUUGAAGCAAAUGUUUGUUGAAUUAAGUGGUGAUUUCCUGCUUGUCUUUAAGAAGAAGGAGAAAAGGGAAAGAAAAGUUUUUAUUGGUGGAGUUUGGGUGUUCUGUGAUUAUUCUGUAGCAGUAGUGGGAAACACAAAUGUUGAGUGUGCCAGGUACCUGGUACAGAUCUGGGUACUGGGUACAGACUGCGCCAGGGCCGUGCACAUGCUCACUGUGGUGGAAUGUAGCUGUCAGAGGCGAUGGGCUAGAGAUGAGAGUUCUUUAGAAGGAAGAGAAACGGUCUGGAUCCUAAAGGAUUGGUGCCUGGGUUUGAAGACACUUGCUCGGGAGGGCUGUUGUUCCGGACCCUCCUGGAAAUGGGCUGUCUUCUGUGGCCUUUCCCAGAAUGCCAAGCUCUUAUAG